GACGAACGCUGGCGGCGUGCUUAACACAUGCAAGUCGAACGGAAAGGCCCUGCUUGCAGGGUGCUCGCGUGGCGAACGGGUGAGUAACACGCGGGUGAUCUGCCCCUUACUUUGGGAUAAGCCUGGGAAACUGGGUCUAAUACUGGAUAGGACCAUGCUGUAGGUGGUGUGGUGGAUAGAUUAGUUUCGGUAAGGGAUGAGCUCGCGGCCGAUCAGCUUGUUGGUGGGGUAUUGGCCGACCAAGGCGUCGACGGGUAGCCGGCCUGAGAGGGUGGACGGCCACAUUGGGACUGAGAGACGGCCCAGAAGCCUACGGGAGGCAGCAGUGGGGAAUAGUGCACAAUGGGCGCAAGCCUGAUGCAGCGACGCCGCGUGGGGGAUGACGGCCUUCGGGUUGUAAACUACUUACAGCCAUGACGAAGCCCUUGUGGUGACGGUAGUGGUAGAAGAAGCACCGGCUAACUACGUG
rnacentral:rRNA from 1 species